CCCGGCGGCACUAGCGCGGUGGUCCCACCUGAUCCCAUUCCGAACUCAGAAGUGAAACGAUGCAUCGCCGAUGGUAGUGUGGGGUUUCCCCAUGUGAGAGUAGGGAACUGCCGGGC
rnacentral:rRNA from 1 species